rnacentral:ncRNA from 1 species
GGCAUGUUUCGCUUAGGCGGAGCUAGACCAUCCGCUCGAGCGAUAAUCGCCUUCAUUGACGAUCACCCGGCGGAGUUCAGGGUCAAGCCGAUCUGCAGGGUGCUGCCGAUUACCCCA